AGUGAACGCUGGCGGUAGGCCUAACACAUGCAAGUCGAACGGCAGCACAGUAAGAGCUUGCUCUUACGGGUGGCGAGUGGCGGACGGGUGAGGAAUACAUCGGAAUCUACUUUUUCGUGGGGGAUAACGUAGGGAAACUUACGCUAAUACCGCAUACGACCUACGGGUGAAAGCAGGGGAUCUUCGGACCUUGCGCGAUUGAAUGAGCCGAUGUCGGAAUAGCUAGUUGGCGGGGUAAAGGCCCACCAAGGCGGCGAUCCGUAGCUGGUCUGAGAGGAUGAUCCGCCACCCUGGAACUGAGACACGGUCCACACUCCUACGGGAGGCAACAGUGGGGAAUAUUGGACAAUGGGGGCAAGCCUGAUCCAGCCAUACCGCGUGGGUGAAGAAGGCCUUCGGGUUGUAAAGCCCUUUUGUUGGGAAAGAAAAGCAGCAGGUUAAUACCCCGCUGUUCUGACGGUACCCAAAGAAUAAGCACCGGCUAACUUCGUG
rnacentral:rRNA from 1 species